AAUAUUCCUCAAAAUUCGGUAAUUAUACUGGACAAUGCACCCUACCACUCAGUUCAAGAAAACAAAGUACCAACCAAAUCAUCUAAUAAAAAGGACAUGACAGAAUGGCUCACCAAGAAUGGAAUUCAACACGACCCAGCUGCACGAAAAUGGGAAUUAUUUGAAAUAAUUUAACGAAACAAGCCCCCCAGUGAUGAAAAAAACUAUGUUGUGGACCGAAUAAUUCGGACCCAUGGGCAUGUUGCUCUUCGCACACCUCCAUACAUGUGCGAAUUAAAUCCGAUCGAAUUGGUUUGGGCGCAACUAAAAAAUUAUAUUCGAUCUCACAAUACAACAGGUGAUUUGGCAAUGAAAAAUUUGGCACAGUUAGUCCAGGACGGAAUUGAGUCUAUAACUCCUUUACACUAGGCAAACUGUUGCAAACAUGUCAUGGAGAUUGAAAAUAAAUUCUGGGAGACCGAUCAAAUAAUGGAGGAAGUCGAACAACUUAUUAUUACGAAUGCUGGUGGUAACGAUGAUAGUGAUGACGAUUCUUCUGACAGCGACGAAGAAAGCGACAAAGAAAAUUAUAUACAAGCCUUAGAAAACGUCGACCAAGAACCGGGUUAAAACCUAUUGCUAGUACAUAUGGGAUGUGUGGUGGACAGAGUUAAUCUUUAUUAAUCUGGCACACACAUGUCAGGGUUCUAGAUUGACUUGGCAAAACUAGAAAACUAGUCAAGAGUGACAAAAAUAGGACAGCUAAUUUUUACUUUAAAAAAUAAAAUCCAUAGGGAAAAAAUGGCUAGUUCUUUUUUAUAUUACGGUCUGGUAAUUUGUUUAUUUAAAAUGUUAAUUGUUACAAGUCAGUGAAUAGGCCAAAUACUGCCUUAAAUAUUCUCUUUUUAUGACUGAAAA